GUCGAACGAAGCUUUCUUUCACCGAAUGCUUGCAUUCACCGAAAGAAGCUUAGUGGCGAACGGGUGAGUAACACGUAGGCAACCUGCCCAAAAGAGGGGGACAACACUUGGAAACAGGUGCUAAUACCGCAUAACCAUGAACACCGCAUGAUGUUCAUGUAAAAGACGGCUUUUGCUGUCACUUUUGGAUGGGCCUGCGGCGUAUUAACUUGUUGGUGGGGUAACGGCCUACCAAGGUGAUGAUACGUAGCCGAACUGAGAGGUUGAUCGGCCACAUUGGGACUGAGACACGGCCCAAACUCCUACGGGAGGCAGCAGUAGGGAAUCUUCCACAAUGGACGAAAGUCUGAUGGAGCAACGCCGCGUGAAUGAAGAAGGCCUUCGGGUCGUAAAAUUCUGUUGUCAGAGAAGAACGUGCGUGAGAGUAACUGUUCACGUAUUGCCGGUAUCUGACCAGAAAGCCACGGCUAACUACGUGCCAGCAGCCGCGGUAAUACGUAGGUGGCGAGCGUUGUCCGGAUUUAUUGGGCGUAAAGGGAACGCAGGCGGUCUUUUAAGUCUGAUGUGAAAGCCUUCGGCUUAACCGAAGUAGUGCAUUGGAAACUGGAAGACUUGAGUGCAGAAGAGGAGAGUGGAACUCCAUGUGUAGCGGUGAAAUGCGUAGAUAUAUGGAAGAACACCAGUGGCGAAAGCGGCUCUCUGGUCUGUAACUGACGCUGAGGUUCGAAAGCGUGGGUAGCAAACAGGAUUAGAUACCCUGGUAGUCCACGCCGUA
rnacentral:rRNA from 1 species